AGGACGAACGCUGGCGGCGUGCUUAACACAUGCAAGUCGAACGGAAAGGCCCGCUUGCGGGUACUCGAGUGGCGAACGGGUGAGUAACACGUGGGCAACCUGCCCUCAGCUUUGGGAUAACACAAAGAAAUUUGUGCUAAUACCGAAUAUUGACCGAUUCUCGCAUGGGGGUUGGUUGAAAGUUUUUCGGCUGGGGAUGGGCCCGCGGCCUAUCAGCUUGUUGGUGGGGUAAAGGCCUACCAAGGCGACGACGGGUA
rnacentral:rRNA from 1 species